rfam:Ovis aries breed Texel chromosome 5, whole genome shotgun sequence.
UCCCUCCUGGCUCAAUCGGUAAAGAGUUUGCCUGCAAUGCAGGAGACCCGGUUUCGAUUCCUGGGUUGGGAA